UCUUAUGAAUGAGCAGAGAAAGUGGUUUCUUGAGAAGGAAUCUUCUCAUGGUGAAGAUGCUGUGAA
rnacentral:pre_miRNA from 1 species